rnacentral:tRNA from 1 species
CCUCUCAUGGCGUAGUGGUAACGCGCCCCAACUAGAGAUCGGGGAGUCGUCAGUUCGAUUGUCACUGAGAAGA